UACGAAGGGUGCAAGCGUUACUCGGAAUUACUGGGCGUAAAGCGUGCGUAGGCGGUUUGUUAAGUCCGCUGUGAAAGCCCUGGGCUCAACCUGGGAAUUGCAGUGGAUACUGGCAAGCUAGAGUGCGGUAGAGGAUGGUGGAAUUCCCGGUGUAGCGGUGAAAUGCGUAGAGAUCGGGAGGAACACCGGUGGCGAAGGCGGCAUCCUGGACCGAGAUUGACGCUGAGGCGCGAAAGCCAGGGGAGCAAACGGG
rnacentral:rRNA from 1 species